CGCAUCUGUGCAUGCAGCAUAUCAAUAAGCGGAGGAAAAGAAACUAACAAGGAUUCCCCUAGUAACGGCGAGUGAAGCGGGAAGAGCUCAAAUUUGAAAUCUAAAGGGUUUCCCUUUACGAAUUGUAGUUUAAAGAAGUGUUUUCUGUUGAGGUUUUGGUAAAAGUUCUUUGGAAUAGGACAUCAUAGAGGGUGAGAAUCCCGUAUUUGACCUUUACUUUCAACUUUGUGAUACACUUUCAAAGAGUCGGAUUGUUUGGGAAUGCAGUCCAAAAUGGGUGGUAAAUUUCAUCUAAAGCUAAAUAUUGGCGAGAGACCGAUAGCGAACAAGUACCGUGAGGGAAAGAUGAAAAGAACUUUGAAAAGAGAGUUAAACAGUACGUGAAAUUGUCAAAAGGGAAGCGUUUGACACCAGUGUUGUUUUUCUGAAAAUCAAUUAAAGAACUGUUUAUGCUAAGUUGUUUAGACUUUAUCAGCUAACUGUUUAGUUUUGAGCUUUUCUUUAAUGCACUUUUCAGUUAACAAGUCAACAUCAAUUUCUUUUGCUGUAAAAAAGCUUGAGGAAGGUGGCUUGAGAUUCGUCUUAAGUGUUUAUAGCCUCUUGCCUAUGCAGUCGGAGAGAUUGAGGUCUGCAGCGUAGAUCCUUCGGGGCUAAAUGCAUUUGUGCUAAGUUAUAACAUUUUAUAGACAACUUGUUGACUAUGAUUUGUCUUGUAGCUUACUCGCUUAUGUUAUUUCACCUACGCUUAGGAUGUUGACAGCAGUAUAGACUGU
rnacentral:rRNA from 1 species